AUUUGGGAGGCGGAGACAGGUGGAUCUCUUGAGUUCAAGACCAGCCUGGUCUACGUAGUGAGUUCUAGGACAGCUACACAGAGAAGAAAGGAUUACUCUACGUUUUAGAAAAAGAUCACUUUUUAUUUUAUGCUGUCUUAGUGUUUUAUUUUACUGCUAUGAACAGACACCACAACCAAGGCAACCUUUAUAAGGACAAUAUCUAAUUGGGGCUGUCUUACAGAUUCUGAGAUUUCAGUCCAUUAUCAUCAAGCAUGGCAGCGUCCAAGCAGGCAUCGUGCAGGAGGAACUGAGAGUUCUACAUCUUCAUCUGGAGGCUGCUAGGAGAAGACUGGCUUCCAGGCAGCUAGGGUGAGGAUCUUAAAGCCUUUGCCCACAGUGACACACUUCCUUCAACAAGGCCACACCCCUUCCAACAAGGCCACACCUCCAAAUAGUGCCACCCUCUGGCCAAGCAUAUUCAAAUCACCACAUAUAUGUAUGAGUGUUUUAUCAGCACGUAUGUGUGUGUAUCAUGUGAAUCCCUGGUGCCUGUGGAGGCCAGAAGAGGGCAUUAUAGAUGGUUGUAAAGCAUUAUAUGGGUGCUGGGAAGCCAAAUUGGGUCCUUUGGAAGAGCAGCCAGUGCUCUUAGUUGUAUAGCCAUGACUCCAGUCCCUUGCUUUGGAUUUGAAUCAACAGAAGAAGUCAUGAUGCUGUUAUGAAGAGUUUAAUCUCAAGAGAACAGUCACUCUCCAGAGCCACAGAGGUCUCUUCCUUAUCUAAUGGCCUGGCCUUCCUAUUCGAAGGUUAUAGCAGGAAGAGCUUCAGUUGGGAAACAGCUGUUGAUAAGAUUUUCACUAGAAGGUUUUUUUGGGAGGAGAAACCCAACCCACUCACUUGAUGGGUAUACACGGUCAAUGAACACUUGGGAGUUUGCACGUGGUGGGCAAGGCGUUGAGUAUGUAAACUAAGAGGCUCAGAGCCGUGCUUCAGCCUGCUCUCAAGGACUGGGAAGACAGGAGGAGUGGCAGACAAGCCAAGGGAUGAGCUUGCAAGCAGCCAUGAUAGCAUGCCAGUGUGAGACAGUGUGAGAACAGAAGUUUGUAAUGGAAAAUGAGGCUCUUAAGCCUCGCAGUCUUAUUAGUUCCUGGUUUUUAAGUGGUGGCCCCUAAACACACAAUACAAUGACUGUC
rnacentral:lncRNA from 1 species